rnacentral:rRNA from 1 species
AUUAUCAUACCACGUUGAAACACCGGUUCUCGUCCGAUCACCAAAGUUAAGCAACGUCGGGCCCGGUCAGUACUUGGGAGGGUGAACACCGGGUACUUUAGGUU